AUAAUCCUAUGGAUAAGAAAAAGGUGGUCAUAACCGUAUAAAUACCCUUAUAUAAUUAGAACAUUUCGCAGUUCUGUUUAGAUUUGUCAGGCUCACCGUUCGAGCAAUCCUUUCCAAAUUGUCGAGGAAGUAUUGCACUGAAUCACUCUGAAAUCAAUCACAAAUAAUAUAAAUAUUUUUAAAAAAGUGCCAAGGGUCAUGAGUUCAUUGUAACGAGAUCAAGAAUUGUAAUUUACAUGUGAAAAUAGGGACGACUGUCAGCUUCGGAAAAACUGCUCCUUGCGUGUAGAACUCAAGAUUCGUUGAUGCAUCUGCAUGUUUGUUCAUUUUAUUUGUGUACCGAUUGAAAAAACAUACAUAUUGAUCGUGUCUUCAUACAUCAUAAACUUUCUGAAAUGACUGAAAUGUUAUGAAGCCUCUAUGAUUGAUUUUAUUGUAACGGAUUUCGACAUUUGUUUGUGUAAAUAAAUCCAAUAUAUACAUAAUAA